UACGUAGGUGGCAAGCGAUACUCGGAAUCACUAGGCGUAAAGCGCAGGUAGGCGGUUUGAUAAGUCUGUUGUGAAAGCUCCCGGCUUAACUGGGAGAGGUCAACGGAAACUAUCAGGCUAGAGUGUGGUAGAGGUAGCUGGAAUUCCCGGUGUAGCGGUGAAAUGCGUAGAUAUCGGGAGGAAUACCGAUGGCGAAGGCAGCCCCCUGGGCCAAUACUGACGCUCAUGCACGAAAGCGUGGGGAGCAAACAGG
rnacentral:rRNA from 1 species